rnacentral:rRNA from 1 species
GCGACCCCAGGUCAGACGG